rnacentral:misc_RNA from 1 species
GAUGAAGAACGUAGCGAAAUGCGAUACGUAAUGUGAAUUGCAGAAUUCAGUGAAUCAUCGAGUCUUUGAACGCACAUUGCGCCCCCUGGUAUUCCGGGGGGCAUGCCUGUCCGAGCGUCAUUGCUGCCCUCAAGCACGGCUUGUGUGUUGGGCCUCCGUCCUCCUCCCGGGGGACGGGCCCGAAAGGCAGCGGCGGCACCGCGUCCGGUCCUCGAGCGUAUGGGGCUUCGUCACCCGCUCUUGUAGGCCCGGCCGGCGCUUGCCGACACAUCAAGCUUUUUUCCAGGUUGACCUCGGAUCAGGUAGGGAUACCCGCUGAACUUAAGCAUAUCAAUAAGCGGAGGA